ACUUGACUGUUACCGCCAAGUGAUGCUUCCCACUCAGUAGAGGUUGUCACAAUUUGUGAGAGCAGCACAACAAUCUCUCUCAUCUCUGGCCUUCCCACUGCUUCUUCACUCAAACACCACUCUGAUAUUUCUGCCAUCUGCAACACUCAUCAAAUUUCACAUCUAUAUCAGAGACUGAUAGCUCAAAGGCUCCCGGUUGUCACGGAACAGUGCAAGUUGCCCUGUAAUCAGUUCUCCAAGUACCACUCCAAAUGCAAAUACAUCAGUCUUGUGAGUCACCUGGAGCUCCUGCACAGAUCUUUCACAAUAAACAUAUAAAUAUCCAGUGCAAUUUGUGUUCUUGCAGUCCAGGAGAGAGGCUGAUGACCUGAUUUAACAUUCUAGUGUUCUUUAGGAAUGCAGUACAGGUACUUAAGGAUCUC